rnacentral:pre_miRNA from 1 species
GUAGUACUCCCUCCGUCCGGAAAUACUUGUCAUCAAAAUGGAUAAAAGGGGAUGUAUCUAGACAUAUUUUAGUUCUAGAUACAUCUCUUUUUAUCCAUUGUGAUGACAAGUAUUUUCGGACGGAGGAAGUACGUG